GUAGUCACGCCGUAAACGAUGAGUGCUAAGUGUUAGAGGGUUUCCGCCCUUUAGUGCUGAAGUUAACGCUUAAGCACUCCGCCUGGGGAGUACGGCCGCAGGCUGAACUCAAGGAUUGACGGGGGCCGCCCAGCGGUGGACAUUUGUUUAUUCGAAGCACGGGAGACCUUACAGGUCUUGCAUCUUUGCCAACCUAGGAUUGGGCUUCUCCCUCGGGAGAGGGUGCAGGUGGUGCAUUGUUUUGUCAGCUCGUGUCGUGAGAUUUGGGGUAAAUCCCGCCACGAGCGCCACCCCUGAUUUUUGUUGCCCUCAUUUAAUUGGGCCCUUUUAGGUGGCUGCCGGUGGCAAACCGGAGGAAGGUGGGGAAGGCGUCAAAUCCUCCUGCCCCUUAUGGCCUGGGCUACACCCCUGCUUCAAUGGGCGGUACAAAGAGCUGCAAGGACCCGAGGGGGAGCUAAUUUCAUAAAACCGUUUUCAGUUCGGGUUGUUGGCUGCAACUUGCCUACCUGAAGCCGGAAUCGCUUGUAAUCCCGGGUCCGCCUUCCGCGGGGAAUACGU
rnacentral:rRNA from 1 species